ACAGGAGCAGUAAAGGAAGGAACGACCUCAGCAAACCGAGGCGUGAAACCGCCUGGCGCGUGGGGGCGCUGGUCCGGGCCUCGAGGGCUCCGCCCCACCUUAACCACCUCCCAAAAGCCCCGCCUCCUAAUACGCACAUGGGGGUUAGGUUUCAACGGGGACACAAACCUUCAGACCACAGCCAUCGGGGCGAAAGGUGUGUGGAGACAAACCGGAGACGACUUAGAAAAGCGUCUUCCACGGAACGCAUCUUGCACACUGAUGGUGCGCAAGAUGUGCACGGGGAGCACACAGCUCACGAGCUGGUACCUCGGGUGCUCAGUGCAGCUGCUGUUACUGGCCCAUCGCCGUGCUAUCUCCCGGGGGACGCUCAGAGCCCUGGAGCCCGCCUCCCUGCUGACAAGACUCGCUUUCCCUCGGACGAGGACCUUGCCUGGAUGGGCUUCGUUUCCCCAUUGCGCAGGCGCCUGGCACACGACGGAUGCCCCCUAGCGGUCAGGAGGAUGAGCGAAGGCAGGCAGCAUGGCCGGAGCCCCGUGGGGGGGCUCUCUGCCCGAUGUGAGGUCGCCACUGGAAAGUUCCCAGCAGGGAACUGGGUGACCCCAGCACGGCCGGAAGAGCCAGGGUGGCUGCGGGCUUCCAAGUAAGCCCCUCACCACCUCUCCCUCCAGCACCCCCUAGUGCAGACAUUUACCCAGGGGCUAAUUAUCGGGAUCUGUGAAGACUUUGGAGUGAAAACACGGUGAGCAUGCUGAGCGCUUGGAAACAGAGUUCUCCGUGCCUGGUUGUAUCACAGCUGUGAACACCCACAGACGGCAGGACAAAGGACCCUGGGAGGGAAAGCCAGUCUGGGGCCAGAAGACAAAAGGGAAGCUACACGUGCCAGCAUCCAGUUGCCUUUGGAAGGCAUUCUGCGCGAGAGGAUGUGGGCUGUGGACGGCCAAGAGAAUGCUUCUGCCCCGCAGGAAAUGGCCCAAGAAUGAAUUAUGGAGAAAAGGAUGACUGCUCUCAGCACGUGGACCUUGACCCCAGAGAGAAAUUGAAAAAACAAACCCUCAGGUAGUUCCAUAGGCUGCCACCAGAGGGCGCCACAAACCGCCCAGCUAGGUGGGUCUUGGUAAUUUACAAAACUAAAAUAAAAUUUGCUGGUGUAACAGGCUAUUUAGAACAUAGUUGUUUCCAACCUGAUAUAAUUCAAGCUUGUAUUAAAGUCCCAUAAUUCCGAAA